GUAGUCAUACGCUCGUCUCAAAGAUUAAGCCAUGCAUGUGUAAGUAUAAAUAGUUAACUUUGAAACUGCGAAUGGCUCAUUAUAUCAGUUAUAGUUUAUUUGAUGAAGAAUACUAAUUGGAUAACCGUAGUAAUUCUAGAGCUAAUACAUGUAUAAAGUCUUGUAGACUGCAUUUAUUAGAAUGAAAACCAUAGGUUUCGGCCUAUUCGUGAGUAAUAAUAACUAAUCAUAUCGUAUGCUUAUGUAACGAUGUGUCUUUCAAGUUUCUGCCCUAUCAGC
rnacentral:rRNA from 1 species